CCUACGGGGCGCAGCAGUGGGGGAUAUUGGACAAUGGGGGAAACCCUGAUCCAGCGAUGCCGCGUGAGGGAAGAAGGUUUUCGGAUUGUAAACCUCUGUGGAGGGGGACGAUAAUGACGGUACCCCUUUAGGAAGCCACGGCUAACUACGUGCCAGCAGCCGCGGUAAUACGUAGGUGGCGAGCGUUAUCCGGAUUUAUUGGGUUUAAAGGGUGCGCAGGCGGCGAGUUAAGUCAGCGGUAAAAUUUCGGGGCUCAACCCCGACGAGCCGUUGAAAAUGGCUUGCUAGAGUGGGCGAGAAGUAUG
rnacentral:rRNA from 1 species